GUAGGUGGCAAGCGUUGUCCGGAAUUAUUGGGCGUAAAGCGCGCGCAGGGCGGUCCUUUAAGUCUGAUGUGAAAGCCCACGGCUCAACCGUGGAGGGUCAUUGGAAACUGGGGGACUUGAGUACAGAAGAGGAAAGCGGAAUUCCAAGUGUAGCGGUGAAAUGCGUAGAGAUUUGGAGGAACACCAGUGGCGAAGGCGGCUUUCUGGUCUGUAACUGACGCUGAGGCGCGAAGGCGUGGGGAGCAAACAGGAUUAGAUACCCUGGUAGUCCACGCCGUAAACGAUGAGUGCUAAGUGUUAGGGGGUUUCCGCCCCUUAGUGCUGCAGCUAACGCAUUAAGCACUCCGCCUGGGGAGUACGGCCGCAAGGCUG
rnacentral:rRNA from 1 species